rnacentral:lncRNA from 1 species
UAAGAUUUUACAUUUAUGUUAAUCACUAGUGGUUUGCCCGCGCUUAGCGCGGGAGUUUAAUGUUUUUAAAAUCAACAUUUUAACAACUAUUUCUAUAGAUCCUCUUUUUUUUCUUUGAAUAUCUCAACUUAAAAAAAAAAGACAGAUGCCAUUAGAACAUUUACAAAGAGAUGGUUGUAUAGACUAAUCUAAGAAGAAAGAAUAAAAAGAAUGAGUGUAGUAGUGUUUAGCCAGAACUGAGCUCAAACCAUCUUCUUCCAAAGGGUGGUCUCUUGUAUAACGAAGAGAAGAUUCGGUUAUAGAUCUUUGUUAUUUAUUCUAUCUCAUUACUUUCAUUUACUUUGUAAUAUGUGUUUGAUGAAAUUUUUUAUGUAGGCGUUUCUGGACUUCAAGUUAAGGAAAUGAUAUCCUAAGUGUGUAUAUUGUUUUGAAAUUGGAUUGUAUUCUUAUGUUGGGAUUAUGUUGUGAUCCGUUUUCAUAUUCAUGUUAUAAUUGUAUCUUUUUUUGUAUUCACAAAUUAAUGCUAUGUCGGUUUCUUGUACGUUUGUGGAGACUACAUACUUCUAACCAUUUUUCUUGACUUUACGUAAGCAUUUAGUUCAUAAUAGAGCUUCCUC